rnacentral:rRNA from 1 species
CAGUCGCCGCGGGAAUACGGAAGGUCCAGGCGUUAUCCGGAUUUAUUGGGUUUAAAGGGAGCGUAGGCCGGAGAUUAAGUGUGUUGUGAAAUGUAGACACUCAACGUCUGACUUGCAGCGCAUACUGGUUUCCUUGAGUACGCACAACGUUGGCGGAAUUCGUCGUGUAGCGGUGAAAUGCUUAGAUAUGACGAAGAACUCCGAUUGCGAAGGCAGCUGACGGGAGCGCAACUGACGCUUAAGCUCGAAGGUGCGGGUAUCAAACAGGAUUAGAUACCCCGGUAGUCCCUGUCUCUUAUAC